rnacentral:lncRNA from 1 species
GGGAAAGGGGUGCUGAGCAGACAAAAGCAAUUGUCAAUAUUGUGGAAAACCAGCAUAGAGCAGUGCUGUAGAAACCUGGACAGGAGAGAAUUACAAAAGUGAAGGUGUGUUGAAUAAAGCCAUCCGCUGCAGAAAGGAUACCAAGACAGAUCAGCAUGGAAUGUCAUCUGCGUCUCCUGCAGGCAUCUCCUCCCAAACACGGCUUCCUAAACCUGUCUUGCCAGUCAAGUCCCACAGCUGCUCUGCCAAGUUAUACAGGCUUCCUCUGAAAAGCUGUUCUGGACUUGCAUGUGCUUGGAGGAACGAAAGCAAGGAAAGUGAAACCCUCCACUUGUUUCCAGGGUCAUCUUGUCCACUCGAGUGGCACUCUCCACUCCUACUCCUGUCCAUGAAGCCAAGUACCUCUUCAUGGGUUGGCACUGAGAGGUAG